rnacentral:rRNA from 1 species
UACGGGGGGAGCAAGCGUUGUUCGGAUUUACUGGGCGUAAAGGGCGCGUAGGCGGCCACCGCAAGUCGACUGUGAAAUCUCCGGGCUUAACCCGGAAAGGUCAGCCGAUACUGCGGGGCUAGAGUGCAGAAGGGGCAACUGGAAUUCUCGGUGUAGCGGUGAAAUGCGUAGAUGUCGAGAGGAACACCUGCGGCGAAGGCGGGUUGCUGGGCUGACACUGACGCUGAAGCGCGAAAGCUAGGGGAGCGAACGGG